rnacentral:rRNA from 1 species
CUACGGGACGCACCAGUGAGGAAUAUUGGACAAUGGGCGAGAGCCUGAUCCAGCCAUGCCGCGUGCAGGAAGACUGCCCUAUGGGUUGUAAACUGCUUUUAUACGGGAAGAAACACCGCUACGUGUAGCGGCUUGACGGUACCGUAAGAAUAAGGAUCGGCUAACUCCGUGCCAGCAGCCGCGGUAAUACGGAGGAUCCAAGCGUUAUCCGGAAUCAUUGGGUUUAAAGGGUCCGUAGGUGGAUAAUUAAGUCAGAGGUGAAAUCCUGCAGCUCAACUGUAGAAUUGCCUUUGAUACUGGUUGUCUUGAGUUAUUAUGAAGUAGUUAGAAUAUGUAGUGUAGCGGUGAAAUGCAUAGAUAUUACAUAGAAUACCAAUUGCGAAGGCAGAUUACUAAUAAUGAACUGACACUGAUGGACGAAAGCGUGGGGAGCGGACAGGAUUAGAUACCCUAGUAGUC